rnacentral:rRNA from 1 species
AUUGAACGCUGGCGGCAGGCCUAACACAUGCAAGUCGAGCGGAGCGGCGGACGGGUGAGUAAUGCCUAGGAAUCUGCCUGGUAGUGGGGGAUCACGUCCGGAAACGGGCGCUAAUACCGCAUACUAUCAGAUGAGCCUAGGUCGGAUUAGCUAGUUGGUGGGGUAAAGGCCCACCAAGGCGACGAUCCGUAACUGGUGUGAGAGGAUGAGCAGUCACACUGGAACGGAAACACGGUCCAGUCUAAUACGGGAGGCGGCGGUGGAGAAUAGUGGACAAUGGGCGAAAGGCUGAUCCAGCCAUGCCGAGUGUGUUAAGAAGGGCUUGGGAUAGUAAAGCAAUUUAAGUUGGGAGGCGUUACCAACAGAAUAAGCACCGGCUAACUUCGUGCCAGCAGCCGCGGUAAUUC